UAUCGACAUCUGGAUACGGCAUUAGUUUGUAUGAGGCAAACUAUUCUCUAUCAUAUUAGUCGGCCCGAAUCAGUUUAUAUUUGCUAAAAUUUGUAUGAAAUUUUUUUCUUGGCAUAAUUUUUUCUACUUAAAGUACGUUGUCAUGACCCUAAUUUGAAUUAUUUUCUAUAGACGUUCAGAUAUUCUCAAAAAAACUUGUCAUUAUAAUAUAAAAUUAUCUCAAAACAUAUUUUUUAUGACGUUUUUUCACCACUUGCAGGCAAUGGUGAUUUUCACUUACAUAGAGUACUAAUUUGAUUAAGGAAAAAUCAUGUUCAUUCAUAAUUUUCAUUUUAAAAGUGUAUUGAUUCCUUCUGCAAAUCCAUACUGUCAUGCCUAUUACCCAAUAUCGUCAACGCGGAUAGUUCGUUAGUCGAAAAUACUGAAUAAUUAAACAAACCAAAUGGCAUCACUGGUGGUUCUUUUUUCCACUCCGCUAAACUGUCAUCUCAAACAAAAACAAAUGGAUCAUACAACUGCUAUGAAUACAUUCGACUCGUUUGCUUCCAUCAAUCGGUAAGUGAGAAAGAUGAUUUCUCCCAUCAGUGCGGAUUUCCACUUCUAUCACAGCAGCCAACAACAUCCGUUUUCCUGCAGCAGUAACCUUCAACCCCUGUUGGCAAUGCCGGGGGACAGCAUCAACAGCAGCAGCAGCAGAAUUUGACCAUGGUAUGGUAUUGCGAAGAACUUUCCCCAUUAGAGGUUCCGUGCUUCGCGCACAUUCAAAAUCCUCUUCAGACACGAAAACUCAACGACAAGGAGGUAUUUAUCAACUUGCUCAGCUGAAUUACCACCCGGAGGAACCCGAAUGCACUGAUUCCGUUGUAUAGUAGAAUGAAAAUAUGCGAGGUAAGCGAACGUAAUCGCAUGAUAUUUUAAUAGUUCGCAUUUUUAUCCGGAACAUACAACUGCUAUGAAUACAUCCGACUCAAUCAAUCGGCGAGUGAGAAAGAUGAUUUCCCUCAUCACCACAUUGCUUAUUUCCACUUCUGUCACGCCAGCCAACAGCAUCAGCUUUCCCGCAGCAGUAUCCUUUAAGUCCAGGGUGCUAUUCCGGGGAACAGCAUCAUCAGUAACAGCAGCAGGACCUGGCCAUCGAUAGUAUUUCGAGCAAUUUUCCCCAUCGGAGAUCCCGUGCUUCACGCACAUUGAAGAAACCUCCUCAGCCACAUAUGUGUGUCAAGGAGAAAAAGGAGCUGGAUUCGAAUCGUCAAUCCAGACAACCCGAAUGCACCGAUUGCA